rnacentral:tRNA from 1 species
GGGGUGGUGGCUCAGUGGUAGAGCACUUGCCUAGCAUAUGCAAGGCACUGGGUUCAAUUCUCAGCACCGCA